rnacentral:lncRNA from 1 species
UUUUAGUAGAGACGGGAUUUCACUAUGUGUUGGCCAGGUUGGUCUCGAACUCCUGACCUCAGGUGAUCCACCUGCCUCGGCCUCCCAAAGUGUUGGAAUUACAGGCAUGAGCCACCACGCCUGGCCUUCACAGCAAACUUCUUUAUUCUUGUGUAUCCAUUUAAAACUUUUAUACCCAUUCUUGGUAAUUUUAAAAGGCUCCCAAUACUCCUUUUACCAUAAAGCAUGGUAGCUAGGGCCAGGCGUGCAGGCUCACAUCUGCAAUCCCAGCAUUUUGGAAGGCCCAAGUGGGAGAAUUCCUGAAGCCCAGUAGUGUGUGACCAGCCUAGGCAACACAGCAAGACUCCAUCUUCACAAAAAAACCGUUGUAAAAGAGCACGGUAGCUAAAAUAUUGCAUUAAAUUGAAAGGCUGGGUGCAGUGGCUCACACCUAUAAUUCUAGCACUUUGGGAGGCCGAGGUGGGUGGAUCAUGAGAUCAGGAGUUUGAGACCAGCCUGGCCAACAUGGUGAAACCCUGUCUCUACU